rnacentral:rRNA from 1 species
GACGAACGCUGGCGGCGUGCUUAACACAUGCAAGUCGAACGGAAAGGCCCUGCUUGCAGGGUCCUCGAGUGGCGAACGGGUGAGUAACACGUGGGUGAUCUGCCCUGCACUUCGGGAUAAGCCUGGGCAACUGGGUCUAAUACCGGAUAGGAGCCAUUUUUAGUGUGAUGGUUGGAAAGUUUUUUCGGUGUAGGAUGAGCUCGCGGCCUAUCAGCUUGUUGGUGGGGUAAUGGCCUACCAAGGCGGCGACGGGUAGCCGGCCUGAGAGGGUGGACGGCCACAUUGGGACUGAGAGACGGCCCAGACUCCUACGGGAGGCAGCAGUGGGGAAGAUUGCACAAUGGGCGCAAGCCUGAUGCAGCGACGCCGCGUGGGGGAUGACGGCCUUCGGGUUGUAAACUCCUUUCGCUAGGGACGAAGCUUUUUGUGACGGUACCUAGAUAAGAAGCACCGGCUAACUACGUG